GAUGAACGCUGGCGGCGUGCCUAAUACAUGCAAGUCGAGCGCACGGACGAGAAGCUUGCUCUGCUGAUGUUAGAGGCGGAGGGGUGAGUAACACGUGUAUAGCAUAGCUAUAGGACACGGGUAACUACAGGGAACAGGAGCUGAUGGCGGAUGAUAUUUUGAGGCGCAAGGUUCAAGCGUUGAAGAAGGUCGUGGUGUGAGUAAUGGACGGCCCCGGGCUGCAUUAGCUAGUUGGCAAGGUAACGGCUUACCAAGGCAACGAUGGAGAGCCGACCCAAAAGGGUGAUUGCCUACACUGGAACUGAGACACGGUCCAGACUCCUACGGGAGGCAGCAGUAGGGACUCUUCCGCGAGGGGCGAAAGCCUGACGGAGCAACGCCGCGUGAGUGAUGAAGGUCUUCGGAUCGGAGAGCUCUGUUAUUAGGGAAGAACAUAUGUGUAAUUAACUGUGCACAUCUUGACGGUACCUAAUCAGAAAGCCCCGGCUAACUACGUG
rnacentral:rRNA from 1 species